rnacentral:snoRNA from 1 species
AAGCCAUGGUGAGGACAAUCGCGUUCGUAGUCCUUGAAUCGUUUCCAUGCUUCAUAGAAUGAUUCAACAGGUCCUUGUUGGAAUCCUUGUAGCUUGUUUCUUAUAGAAU